rnacentral:rRNA from 1 species
UACAGAGGAGGCAAGCGUUGUUCGGAAUCACUGGGCUUAAAGCGCGUGUAGGCGGCCCGUCAAGUACCUUGUGAAAUCCCUCGGCUCAACCGGGGAAUGGCUGGGUAUACUGUCGGGCUUGAGGUGGGUAGGGGUGCCUGGAACUCUAGGUGGAGCGGUGAAAUGCGUAGAUAUCUAGAGGAACGCCCGUGGCGAAAGCGGGGCACUGGGCCUUACCUGACGCUAAGACGCGAAAGCGUGGGGAGCAAACGGG